GGGACAGUAGCUCCAAUGGUAGAGCGGGUGACUCCAAAUCACUAGGCUGGGGGUUCAAGUCCUCCCUGUCCCG
rnacentral:tRNA from 1 species